UUCUUCCCCUGCCGUUGAGGAAUAUUAUUUAGACUGUCAGCCAAUUUUCGCAAAGCGAAAGCCAAAAUUCGCACUGCCAGAAGAAGGAAAUUCGCAUAGUGCACCAGUACAUUUGAUUUGCACUGAGCGAAUUAAUGAAGUUAAGUGGCUUUAAAAGAGAGAAAGACAGAAAGACAGAAACAUUCUUCUAACAGAAGUUCCG
rnacentral:sRNA from 1 species